ensembl:lncRNA
UAGAUGUAUCUUUUUCAGGCUUGAUGAGUUUUAUGAAAGACACCCUAAUAUAAAUAGUUGCAUUACACCACAUAUUAAAGAAGCAGAUUCAAUCUUAAAAACACACACAAUAUGUCAUAUUAUCUGAGAUACAUAAUCUUUCAUAGAAUGAGUGACAUUUGACAUCACAUUACAGAAAAAGUGACUUUGUAAACAAGCUUUAUUUUACAGUGUCUUUUUCUGGAUGUAGCCAUAGCUUAUCACAGUUAUACGAUAAAGCAACUAUUUGAUGAUAUUCUCAUUUCCUUGUCAUACAGUUGUCUUCAUGUGUAUAAAUUAUAAAUAGUACAGCCUAAUGAGAGAGCCAGAGUGCUGAAUUUGCUGGGACUGAUUUCUAGAAAAUUAUGACAUUCUGUCAUAUAUUCUUGUGCUCCCCAAAACCAAAUUAUAUCUUUGCUAUUUCAUCAGACUGAUAACUACUUACAUGGGUGCCACAUAUGACAAGUAAAUAAUGAAUCAUCUAUAUAUAUUCUAGACAUAGUUUUGCAAGUCACAGAGUGAGUCCUGCAGUUCUUUCUCAAGCAAUAGAAGACAGCAGAGGUUAUGUCCAUGUGUAGAGAGAUAACUCAUACCAAAACAUGAAAGCAUCAACCAGGGAAGAAAAAGUAUCUAUGAAGCUGCACAAAUGAGCCAAAGAAAGAGUUUAUACACUGAGACAAGUACACCCACAUAUUCUUGGCAUGAAAGUGUGGAAGCAAACUGCUCUGCUACGGGGGAAUGCCAGCUGCAGAAUAAGCACUGCUCAUUCACUGCUCAAUCACUGCUCAUAAGCACUGCCAUGAGCAUCACUUCUUAACUAGCACACAUCUGAGUUUGGAGGGCUUUUGUGAAUAUCAGAAUCAACUUUUAGUAUUUUACCAAAAAUACAGAACGAUAGUGUCAUCUCUACUAGUUCCAUAACCAGAAGAAACUCAUGAAAACUGGAUUUUAAGUGUUUCUUGAAGCACACAGCUCUUAUUAGUAUGGUAACUUUUUUAGGAUUAUCUGACAUUUGCAAGUGGCCUGUACUGUGAUAAGGAGCUGCAUGGAUACCAGCACUAUCCCCAGCUGUCUGGAUCCAGAGAAAUCAUCUCCCACACUGGAGCACUCAGCCUCAUGUCGUGGAAAGAAGCCAUCAGGAAGAGUAAGAUUACAAGCCAGCGUAAGGACAGGAAAGGAAAGCUUAAGCAGAACGUACUUCUCCAAACUGAAACCUGGCUGAUGCUCAAGAGUUAAUAUUUCCACCCAUGCAAAAAAUUAACUGCCAUGGGAUCUUGAACAAUAGUAACCGGUCCCCAUGUUACUCUUGUAUCCCAUUGGAAAGACAGUACUUUAAACAGUGCUGUGCACUCUGAUAGCAGGGCAUAAAUUCAAUAUUGACAGAAGGAAGCUUGCCACCUACUGAAUCACCACCUGAGUCACACCAUUGCUGAACUACAUAUUACGGAGCUGGAAGCUUGCACUGUCAUGGAAACCACUGAUGAUGAUGCUAUACCAAGGUCUGAGAAAAGGGAACUUCACAGGUUUCAGGUUUUCUGUCUUGUGGAUCCCUAGCACAGGAAACACACAGUGUACAUAACAGGCUAUAAAGUCUACAUUUAGUAUAAACCACAGAGCUUGACACACAUGAGACUUGAGCAAAUAGUUUCCAUUUUCUGUAAUAGUGAUAGUGUAUACAACUUCUACCUGUAAAUGUAAAAUACAAACUUGGAUUAUCCAAACAUCCGCUUGAAG